GAGUUUGAUCUUGGCUCAGAUUGAACGCUGGCGGCAUGCCUUACACAUGCAAGUCGAACGGCAGCACGGGAGCUUGCUCCUGGUGGCGAGUGGCGAACGGGUGAGUAAUGCAUCGGAACGUAUCCUGGAGUGGGGGAUAACGUAGCGAAAGUUACGCUAAUACCGCAUAUUCUGUGAGCAGGAAAGCGGGGGACCUUCGGGCCUCGCGCUCUUGGAGCGGCCGAUGUCGGAUUAGCUAGUUGGUGAGGUAAAGGCUCACCAAGGCGACGAUCCGUAGCAGGUCUGAGAGGAUGAUCUGCCACACUGGAACUGAGACACGGUCCAGACUCCUACGGGAGGCAGCAGUGGGGAAUUUUGGACAAUGGGGGCAACCCUGAUCCAGCCAUGCCGCGUGAGUGAAGAAAGGCCU
rnacentral:rRNA from 1 species